rnacentral:rRNA from 1 species
ACGAACGCUGGCGGCGUGCUUAACCCCUGCAAGUCGCACGGAAAGGCCCUGCUUUUGUGGGGUGCUCGAGUGGCGAACGGGUGAGUAACACGUGAGUAACCUGCCCUUGACAUUGGGAUAACUUCAGGGAACUGGGGCUAAUACCGGCUAGGAGCUCCUGCUACCUGGUGGGGGUUGGAAAGUUUCGGCGGUUGGGGAUGGACUCGCGGCUUAUCAGCUUGUUGGUGGGGUAGUGGCUUACCAAGGCUUUGACGGGUAGCCGGCCUGAGAGGGUGACCGGCCACAUUGGGACUGAGAUACGGCCCAGACUCCUACGGGAGGCAGCAGUGGGGAAUAUUGCACAAUGGGCGGAAGCCUGAUGCAGCAACGCCGCGUGCGGGAUGACGGCCUUCGGGUGGUAAACCGCUUUCGCCUGUGACGAAGCGUGAGUGACGGUAAUGGGUAAAGAAGCACCGGCUAACUACGUG